UACGAAGGGGGCAAGCGUUGUUCGGAAUUACUGGGCGUAAAGGGCGCGCAGGCGCAUCAAGUCAGGCGUGAAGACCCCGGGCUUAACCUGGGAAAUGCGUUUGAGACUGAUUGGCUUGAGUUCGGGAGAGGAUAGUGGAAUUCCCAGUGUAGAGGUGAAAUUCGUAGAUAUUGGGAAGAACACCGGUGGCGAAGGCGGCUAUCUGGACCGAUACUGACGCUGAGGCGCGAAAGCGUGGGGAGCAAACAGG
rnacentral:rRNA from 1 species